AAUGAGCGAACUACGCGCACGUGAAAAAUAAACAAAUGCGUGUGAGGCAAAAGGACUGGUGCGAACCUCACAAAGUUGAAAGUGUUUUGUUCAAAGCCCUAGUCUUAAUUACACAAAAACACCGUAACGGCGUCCAGAUUUGAACUAUGAAGGUCCCAUUAAUGUUUAACGCAAUUUGACAGACCGAUAUAGCCCACCGACUCGAAAUUGCGUAUCGAUGUAUAAAAUUCGCUUUUACGUGUCAAUAUUACACUUAAUCCUCAGCACAACGAUUAAAUUAAAAAGCACCGGGAAGCGCGAUGACUACCACUAGUUUGACUAGAGGGAUAUAUCAGUAUAGGCUAUAACGGAAUGUUUUCUCAGUGAUAGGAAACAUAUCAAGCAGUAAACCAGGGCACAAAAGAGGAAUCAAAGUAUAAUGAUAUUGAAAAAUAGAAAAAUACAUCGAUGGAUCCAUCCAUGUUUUAACAUAUUUAUUAACGAGGGAAGUUUUGGUAUAAUGCGCAGGGAAACCGGCUUUUUGAGCAUGAAUGCUGAAGGCUGCGCUGUACAGACUUAUAAUGUCUGGAUCGGGCUGCCAUCUAGCGUACAGUAGACAAUUACAGCGACAUGAAAAAUUAGUAAUUUAUUGUCAUUUAAAGCAUGUUUCCAAAUGUAACUCGUAGACAAAUUGCGCGGUGGGAUGAAUGUUUCUGAUUUUUUUUAGUGAAGUAGGCUAUUAAAAACAUCAGAUUUAAAAGUAUUUUGAUUAUGUUUUGCAGGAACUUGUUUAGCAUCAAGUUUAUUUUUAUUUUUUAUCAAUGUCUCCACUUGAGAUGCUUAUUUUAUUUUUGUUUUCGGAGAAAAGCUUUUUGGCCUCUUAUUAGCGGACAAAACAGCAAUGUUUAAAAUUCAAGUAUUUAAUAAAUAUUUUAGUAGCCUUUAUCACCUAUCACCUAUUUUUACCAUAAGUUUUUUUUUUUUUUUUUUUGUACAAACAAUGCAUCAAAGUCCAAAACUGUGUAAGUGAAGUUAAGAGGAAACAAAACCCCGAUACCCGACCGUUCAAGAAACCCUCUAGUUACAAAAAGGUAGCUUAUUUUCAACUCGACCGCGGAGCUUCUCCGUCCCUCCACAAACAGAUCCAUAGAAACACACGCUGUUGUCCUCUGUUCAUUGCAAAGGUGAAACGAAUAAGAUUAAAACGAACAAAGAGAAACUUCUGUAAGUGUACCAUCAAGGUUUUACUCCACAGAUAGGGAAGAGAGCGAGAGGGGAGAGAGGGAGAGGGACAGCGAAUGGGAACACAAGGCACGCAUGAAAACAGCACUGAAGAAACGGUAAAGUGGACACUUGGACAUUCAAAGUGCGAGCGCCCAGCGACUGGUUGGUAUUAGCUACUUAGGAUCGGUGAUUUCUCAGUUUGGUCCGUGUUCGAAAGAAAAGAGGGAAAUCAUCUAACCGCAAAUAUGGAGCUCUGUUGAUGCUCUGUGAUAUGCUGGCCUUCACGGCGGAUAAAGACAGAUUUCCAAAGAUGAUCUGAUAUGUGGCUUUAGGUGGAAAAACACACACACAUGGUUUGCUUAUGAUUAUCCAGACAUACUGUUACAUAGAAUGUAAAAAAGCACCUGUAUCUGUGUUUACAUGUCACCCUCCUGCACUGUACAUUGAGCGUCACUCUAUCUGCUCUAUCUGUCUCUAAAGGAAAGAAUGCAGCCAUCAUUCCUGAACACACAUUCCUCAAAGCAAGCAAGACCCUUUUUCACAUAAUAAAACAGUAGAUUUUGAUAAAUAUAGUCAGGUUACUAGAGCUUUAAUAAAAAAGAAUCAGAGAAACAGCUUGUUUUCAAAAGUGAAAGAGGACCGAUUAUAGGCAGCUGUGGCACUCCAAACGUUCCUCUCCACCCCACGGUUAGGACAGCAGUUAGUGAGGGACUUCCUGCAUGGAAAGUUGUGUAUGUUUUCCUUCAGUGAAUUGAACAUCCUGCAGAUCUUAAAUUCCAGUCAGCAGUAAACUCUCUGACCUCUGAGCACAAAAUUAGGCACAUCAUAUAAGCAAGAGACAGCAUGGAAAGGAAGGACUGCGAAGCAAGACAAAAUGACAGAGAUAAAAGAAACAAUGAGAGACUAUUGCAGUACAACUUUUUAAAAUUACUUAUUUUAGGAAUAGGAAUGUUUAAUAAAUGAUAAAUUAUUAGCUAAAUAACCAAAACAGUUACUUUCCAUUGGAAGUAUUUAACAAGAGUUUAUUUUGUUUGUAAAAGUACAAAUAAUAAUAAUAAUAAAUAAUAAAGUUUUUUUUUUUUCCUGACCUGAUUAUUAAGCAAAUUAUGUUACCUGAUGGCAAACAUAUUUUACUUUUAAGCUAGUCACUGGACAAAAAUCAAUUUAUUAUGACAAAUGCAUGCAACAAGAGGGUCAUCUAAUACUGUUAGUCCAUUCUAUGUUUGAAAACACAAUGAUGUUAAGAGCCACGAAAGUGUCAGAUUUCAUCUACUAUUACAUGGACAGCAUUGUCAUUUACAACAUAUGCGGUGAACCCUGUCUGCCAAUGUGUUUAUAGAGCUAUUAUCAAUUGACUGAUGAAACAAACUGCUCACCAGUCAACAUAUGUUCCUGAUUUGCUGGAUUUAUUUGAUUUGAAACCAUGUGUUUUCUGUUUUGAAAUGAUCAUGGAGGUUUGUCACAUAGCAUUCUUUGUGGAUCACAAGCAUUAGAUUGUUGGUAAUACUAUAAUUUUACUAUUGAAAGUUUUUUUUUUUUUUUUUUUUUGGAAUCAAGCGGUGGGGAAUAUUCCUGGAGAACAGAUGGGCAUUUCUAUCCACGGAGUGCAUUUUCUUAAUAUACUGUACAGGGCUUUAUAGUAGACACUAGAUGUGAACUGAAAUGUGUUGUUUCUUCAUCCCCAUACUGCAUUUAUAAAAUAUAUUCAUUAGCUAAGCAUUCAAUGUUUGUGAUCUAUGUCAUUUUGUCCUGAAAUAUCCCCAUUUUGCUAGUCAUAUAUACGAAAGAGCUCAAAGGUAAGUGGCCUAAACCUUGUUAGCCUUAAAGGCUUGUACUUUUUUUUUUUUUUCACCAACCCCUGGGGUUUACCUACUACACAGGUGUGCAUCAA